CCUACGGGAGGCUGCAGUGGGGAAUAUUGCACAAUGGGCGCAAGCCUGAUGCAGCCAUGCCGCGUGUGUGAAGAAGGCCUUCGGGUUGUAAAGCACUUUCAGCGGGGAGGAAGGCGUUAAGGUUAAUAACCUUGGCGAUUGACGUUACCCGCAGAAGAAGCACCGGCUAACUCCGUGCCAGCAGCCGCGGUAAUACGGAGGGUGCAAGCGUUAAUCGGAAUUACUGGGCGUAAAGCGCACGCAGGCGGUCUGUCAAGUCGGAUGUGAAAUCCCCGGGCUCAACCUGGGAACUGCAUUCGAAACUGGCAGGCUAGAGUCUUGUAGAGGGGGGUAGAAUUCCAGGUGUAGCGGUGAAAUGCGUAGAGAUCUGGAGGAAUACCGGUGGCGAAGGCGGCCCUCUGGACAAAGACUGACGCUCAGGUGCGAAAGCGUGGGGAGCAAACAGGAUUAGAUACCCGUGUAGUC
rnacentral:rRNA from 1 species